rnacentral:rRNA from 1 species
CCUACGGGAGGCUGCAGUGGGGAAUAUUGGACAAUGGGGGCAACCCUGAUCCAGCCAUGCCGCGUGUGUGAAGAAGGCCCUCGGGUUGUAAAGCACUUUCAGUGAGGAAGAACGCCUGGUGGUUAAUACCCAUCAGGAAAGACAUCACUCACAGAAGAAGCACCGGCUAACUCCGUGCCAGCAGCGGUAAUACGGAGGGUGCGAGCGUUAAUCGGAAUUACUGGGCGUAAAGCGCGCGUAGGUGGCUUGAUAAGCCGGUUGUGAAAGCCCCGGGCUCAACCUGGGAACGGCAUCCGGAACUGUCAAGCUAGAGUGCAGGAGAGGAAGGUAGAAUUCCCGGUGUAGCGGUGAAAUGCGUAGAGAUCGGGAGGAAUACCAGUGGCGAAGGCGGCCUUCUGGACUGACACUGACACUGAGGUGCGAAAGCGUGGGUAGCAAACAGGAUUAGAUACCCGUGUAGUC